AAGUCGUAACAAGGUUUCCGUAGGUGAACCUGCGGAAGGAUCAUUGCCACACACCGAUCCAAGAUCGACACUUUUUGUGAACUGUAAACUUUUUUGUUGAUGAAGGGAGUAGCUAUCUACUUCACAAGUCAAUGAAAACUUUUAAACACCUUUUAAAAACAAAAAUGAUUUAUACAUUGGAACUUAAAUGUUAUAACAAGUUCGUCUUGAUAUAACGCUAGAUUAUUAAUUGUAAAACAACUUUUAACAAUGGAUAUCUAGGUUCUU
rnacentral:misc_RNA from 1 species